UACGGGGGGCGCAAGCGUUGUUCGGAUUUACUGGGCGUAAAGGGCGCGUAGGCGGCGCAACAAGUCACUUGUGAAAUCUCCGGGCUUAACCCGGAGCGGCCAAGUGAUACUGUCGUGCUAGAGUGCGGAAGGGGCUACUGGAAUUCUCGGUGUAGCGGUGAAAUGCGUAGAUAUCGAGAGGAACACCUGCGGCGAAGGCGGGUAGCUGGGCCGACACUGACGCUGAUGCGCGAAAGCCAGGGGAGCGAACGGG
rnacentral:rRNA from 1 species